rnacentral:rRNA from 1 species
GUGAUACUGGGGAGAGGCGACACUGCCAGGUUUUGGACUGAUAACUGGACACCGGAAGGGCGUAGCAUUGCCUCGUUGGCACCAGCCUUGUUUUCAUUUGUGAAGGAUUCCAGGCUGUCAGUCCGGGAUGCGCUGCAUAAUCGAAGAUGGAUUAAGGACAUCAAAGGCGGCUUGACAGUCCAAGCUUUAGCGCAAUACCUAUGGGUCUGGGACAUUGCACAGGCGGCUGUACUCGACUCGGAGGCUCAGGAUCGACUUGAGUGGAGGAGAACGGAGCACCACCAAUUCACAGUCAGCAGCGCUUAUAGGAUGUUUUUCAUGGCUGGAAUCCACCGAAGACUGGUGGCUGGCGGCAAGGAGGACAAUUCCAAAGCAAGCGCGCCGGAACUUUGACACUAUCGCCAUCCAUAUUCAUUGGAGGAUCUGGAAAGAGCAGAAUGCGAGAAUUUUUCAACACACUGCUUGUAACAUUGAGAGGGUAUUAGAUCUUAUCAGGGAGGACAUUGGAAUAUGGAGAUCGGCCGGAUGUGUGGCUGAUUUAGUUAGUUAG